UACGUAGGCAGCAAGCGUUGUUCGGAAUUAUUGGGCGUAAAGAGCUCGUAGGCGGCUUGUCGCGUCGGAUGUGAAAGCCCGGGGCUUAACUCCGGGUCUGCAUUCGAUACGGGCAGGCUAGAGUGUGGUAGGGGAGAUCGGAAUUCCUGGUGUAGCGGUGAAAUGCGCAGAUAUCAGGAGGAACACCGGUGGCGAAGGCGGAUCUCUGGGCCAUUACUGACGCUGAGGAGCGAAAGCGUGGGGAGCGAACAGG
rnacentral:rRNA from 1 species